AGCUCGUGUCGUGAGAUGUUGGGUUAAGUCCCGCAACGAGCGCAACCCUUAUCUUCAGUAGCCAGCAGGUAAAGCCGGGCACUCUGGAGAGACUGCCGGGGAUAACCCGGAGGAAGGUGGGGAUGACGUCAAAUCAUCAUGCCCCUUAUGAUUUGGGCUACACACGUGCUACAAUGGCGUAAACAGAGGGAAGCGAGCCCGCGAGGGGGAGCAAAUCCCAAAAAUAACGUCCCAGUUCGGAUUGUAGUCUGCAACCCGACUACAUGAAGCUGGAAUCGCUAGUAAUCGCGGAUCAGAAUGCCGCGGUGAAUACGUUCCCGGGUCUUGUACACACCGCCCGUCACACCAUGGGAGUCGGAAAUGCCCGAAGUCUGUGACCUAACCGUAAGGGAGGAGCAGCCGAAGGCAGGUCGGAUGACUGGGGUGAAGUCGUAACAAGGUAGCCGUAUCGGAAGGUGCGGUUGGAUCACCUCC
rnacentral:rRNA from 1 species